rnacentral:tRNA from 1 species
AAAGCUAAAAACCAGGCUGCUAACCUGAUAAUAAUGAUAUUCAUUUAGCUUUU